UCUUGACAGUAUGAAGAAGCCGCACACUGAGUUUCAGAACUGCUUCGUGGCAUAAUUUGGUAUUUGCUGAAAGACAUCUCUCCCGCUGAAGAGCCACGCACAGAAAAGGGUAUCCAACAUCGCUGCUCAUUUUACGUCCCCACGAUGCGAGAUGGUGUUUUCCGGGGAAUAUCUGCCGAGGAACGUCGAUCACUAUCGAUGAUCACUCAGCGUCGGUCGACAUAUACGAGCCAAUUGCAGGUCAACCAGUACUGAACGUCUGACACAUGUGUCAAAUGGCAUCCCGACGAAUCAGCCAGCUUCCCUUCGCAAGCGGUUCUUCCACCAUCACGCUCAACCGUCGAAGGCAGACUGACUCCGUUGAAAGGCCCUUCGGAUGACAUGGCCGAGUGGACAA